GGCUACCACUUGCAUGGUAAAGACUAAUGGGUUUUAACCUUUUUUUUUUUGGAAGGUAGAUCAAAGACUUCUUAAUUUAUUUGAAGAAUGACAUAAAGAAGUGGGUUUUAAGGCUUUGUUCAAUUAUGGACAAUGCUUUAAUUUUUAAUACAACUAAUUUUAAAACUCCUAGCCCCAAAUAAGUUUAACUUUUGGUCCACAUAUGUCUAAAUAGAAAUUCUU
rnacentral:lncRNA from 1 species